rnacentral:rRNA from 1 species
UACGUAGGGUGCGAGCGUUAAUCGGAAUUACUGGGCGUAAAGCGUGCGCAGGCGGUCACGUAAGUUUGCACUGACAGCUCCUGGCUUAACCGGGAGAGGCGUGUGAAAACUGCGUGACUUGAGGGCCUCAGAGGGACAUGGAAUUCCAGGUGGAGCGGUGAAAUGCGUAGAGAUUGGGAAGAACACCAGUGGCGAAGGCGGCUAUCUGGACGGUUUCUGACGCUAAGACGCGAAAGCGUGGGGAGCAAACAGG